UGGAAACUGUNUGACUUGAGUGCAGAAGGGGAGAGUGGAAUUCCAUGUGUAGCGGUGAAAUGCGUAGAUAUAUGGAGGANCACCAGUGGCGAAAGCGGCUCUCUGGUCUGUCACUGACGCUGAGGCUCGAAAGCGUGGGUAGCGAACAGGAUUAGAUACCCUGGUAGUNCACGCCGUAAACGAUGAGUGCUAGGUGUUAGGCCCUUUCCGUGGCUUAGUGCCGGAGCUAACGCAAUAAGCACUCCGCCUGGGGAGUACGACCGCAAGGUUGAAACUCAAAGGAAUUGACGGGGGCCCGCACAAGCGGUGGAGCAUGUGGUUUAAUUCGAAGCAACGCGAAGAACCUUACCAGGUCUUGACAUCCCGAUGCUAUUCUUAGAGAUAGGAAGUUACUUCGGUACAUCGGAGACAGGUGGUGCAUGGUUGUCGUCAGCUCGUGUCGUGAGAUGUUGGGUUAAGUCCCGCAACGAGCGCAACCCUUAUUGUUAGUUGCCAUCAUUAAGUUGGGCACUCUAGCGAGACUGCCGGUAAUAAACCGGAGGAAGGUGGUGAUGACGUCAAAUCAUCAUGCCCCUUAUGACCUGGGCUACACACGUGCUACAAUGGUCGGUACAACGAGUUGCGAGCCGGUAACGGCAAGCUAAUCUCUGAAAGCCGAUCUCAGUUCGGAUUGGAGGCUGCAACUCGCCUCCAUGAAGUCGGAAUCGCUAGUAAUCGCGGAUCAGCACGCCGCGGUGAAUACGUUCCCGGGCCUUGUACACACCGCCCGUCACACCACGAGAGUUUGUAACACCCGAAGUCGGUGAGGUAACCUUUU
rnacentral:rRNA from 1 species